rnacentral:lncRNA from 1 species
CCUAUCCCUUCUAUUAUCAUUUUCAUUUUUAUUUUAUUUUUGCUGCUGUUAUUAGAAGUAAUGAUAAUAAUAAUGAUUAUGAUAUUGUAAUUACGAUUAUCAUCAUUGUCAUAAUUGUUGUUAUUCUAAUUGAUAUCAUUCUUAGUAGGAGCAAUAUGAUUGUUCUUUCAUUGUCUUUCUCUUCCAGAUUAGUUUUAAGACACCCAUCUAUCACAUGAACAUCAGCACACAAGGAACUAUUUGCUUGGAUAUAUUAGAUAGCGAAUGGAGUCCCGGUUUUUCACUUUCCAAAGUUUUGGUGAUGAUUGUGGCCCUUCUGAAUGACCCGAAUCCAAACGAUCCCUACCGGGGUGACCUUAGUGAAGAAUACGUGAGGGACAAGGCAUCUUACAUUAAGAAUGCUCGUAGAUGGACGCAGAUGUAUGCCGCCAAUUGAUGUAUUUUCCCGAUUGUUUUUCUCUCUCUUGAUAGGUUUAGAUUCCUUUUUUUUUCUCUCUGAACAUCCCUUGCACUUUCAUCAAGCUUAUUCAGAUGAACGUAGAUUGCAUUAGUCAUGAAUUAAGAAUAAAGUAAAUGGAUUAUUUAAACAAGUGACACAUAUCUACUGCGAUGGGUGUGUUCAUGAUGGAAAAUCCACUUGUUGGAUCUUUGUGGAAGAUUAUAAGAAGGUCAUCGAAAGGUUAUGGCUUUUCUUCCACGGCUGUUGAGUUGCAUUUCAUUCCUCAAGGUUUGCAAAAAGACUUUAUGCAGUAUACGGAUGCUUAUUGUGAGCCCAUAAUGGGACUUUUGUCGGGUCAUUUAGCAUGCUGCUGGAUCCAUUUGAUGUAUGACUAUGCU